rnacentral:rRNA from 1 species
UGCAGAAUCCCGCGAACCAUCGAGUCUUUGAACGCAAGUUGCGCCCGAGGCCUUCUGGCCGAGGGCACGCCUGCCUGGGCGUCACGCCAAACACGCUCCCACCCCACUAAACAUGGGGCGGGAUGCGGCAUGUGGCUCCCCGUCUCGCAAGGGGCGGUGUGCCGAAGAUCUGGCUGCCGGUGUAUCGUGCCGGACACAGCGCGUGGUAGGCGAUCUCGCUAUACUAAACGCAGUGCAUCCGGGGCGUAGCCNACGCAAUGCCCUCAUGGACCCUAUAAACGGAGCGCACGACGCUUCUACCGCGACCCCAGGUCAGGCGGGACUACCCGCUGAAUUUAAGCAUAUAAAUAAGCGGAGGAGAAGAAACUUACAAGGAUUCCCCUAGUAACGGCGAGCGAACCGGGAACAGCCCAGCUUGAGAAUCGGGCGGCUGUGCCGUCUGA